UAGGGAAUAUUGCGCAAUGGACGAAAGUCUGACGCAGCAACGCCGCGUGGGUGAUGAAGCUUCUUGGAGUGUAAAACCCUGUCAGUGGGGAAGAAACGUACGAGCAGUAACUGGUUCGUGCCUGACGGUACCCGCAGAGGAAGUCCCGGCUAACUCCGUGCCAGCAGCCGCGGUAAUACGGGGGGGACAAGCGUUGUUCGGAUUCACUGGGCGUAAAGGGCGCGUAGGCGGGCUUUCAAGUCGGAUGUGAAAACUGGCGGCUCAACUGCCAGCCUGCAUUCGAUACUGUUGGUCUUGAGUACGGGAGAGGAGAGCGGAAUUCCAGGUGUAGCGGUGAAAUGCGUAGAUAUCUGGAAGAACACCAGUAGCGAAGGCGGCUCUCUGGCCCGAUACUGACGCUGAAGCGCGAAGGCAUGGGGAGCAAACA
rnacentral:rRNA from 1 species